UUGCCCUAGUAACGGCGAGUGAAGCGGCAACAGCUCAAAUUUGAAAUCUGGCUCUUUUAGGGUCCGAGUUGUAAUUUGCAGAGGGCGCUUUGGCAUUGGCAGCGGUCUAAGUUCUUUGGAACAGGACGUCACAGAGGGUGAGAAUCCCGUACGUGGUCGCUAGCCUUUACCGUGUAAAGCCCCUUCGACGAGUCGAGUUGUUUGGGAAUGCAGCUCUAAAUGGGAGGUAAAUUUCUUCUAAAGCUAAAUAUUGGCCAGAGACCGAUAGCGCACAAGUAGAGUGAUCGAAAGAUGAAAAGCACUUUGGAAAGAGAGUCAAAUAGCACGUGAAAUUGUUGAAAGGGAAGCGCUUGCAGCCAGACUUGCCUGUAGAUGCUUAUCUGGACUUUUGUCCAGUGCACUCUUCUGCGGGCAGGCCAGCAUCAGUUUGGGCGGUUGGAUAAAGGUCUCUGUCACGUACCUCCUUUCGGGGAGGCCUUAUAGGGGAGACGACAUGCAACCAGCCUGGACUGAGGUCCGCGCAUCUGCUAGGAUGCUGGCGUAAUGGCUGUAAGCGGCCCGUCUUGAAACACGGACCAAGGAGUCUAACAUCUAUGCGAGUGUUUGGGUGUCAAGCCCAGACGCGUAAUGAAAGUGAACGGAGGUGGGAACCCUUUGGGUGCACCAUCGACCGAUCCUGAUGUCUUCGGAAGGAUUUGAGUAAGAGCAUGGCUGUUGGGACCCGAAAGAUGGUGAACUAUGCUUGAAUAGGGUGAAGCCAGAGGAAACUCUGGUGGAGGCUCGCAGCGGUUCUGACGUGCAAAUCGAUCGUCAAAUUUGGGCAUAGGGGCGAAAGACUAAUCGAACUAUCUAGUAGCU
rnacentral:rRNA from 1 species